AAAAAGGCAAAUCCUGGGUUUCCGUGUCAACGUUUGACUGUCCGUCUUAUAUGAUUUUUUUUAUAAUUAGUAUUUCCAUUGUUGUUAGAUGAUAAAACAUGAUUAAUACUUUGUGCGUGAUUUAUCUUUUUAAUUUUUUCAUAAUUUUUUCAAAUAAGAAGGACGGUCAAACGUUGGACACGGAAACCAGGGUUUGUCUUUCU
rnacentral:pre_miRNA from 1 species